CCUGAACUCGAGUAGGGCCCAAGCCAGCCAGGAAGGAGGAGGCAGCCAGAGUGUUCUCUGCAGCAGAAGACCCCUUGCUGCCCUGCUUAACCCAGACCAGCAUUUGCCAGACCAACAAGAAUUUAUAGAAGCACAAAGUAGCAUCGAGUCCUGCUCCUUGGAGUAGACAGCAAAAACAAAAGAACAGUCAAUGGCGAACCUAGGCAAUCAGGGUGCCUGGACCAACAUGCCAUGGAGGGCCCCCCACCACUGUGAGCGUUUGUUUCCCCACUGCCGCGAGGCCGAACCACCAAUAUUCUAGUCGCCAUGUGCGUGGCCGAGGGAGUGUGGGGUGCGGCUUUGAAAGAUGGCUGAUAUGAGCUUAUAUUAUAAGAACUAUAUAGCUUAUACGACAAAACUGUUCAGUUUCUGUCCAUGAAUUGAUGAUCAUAUUAUUGUCACAAUGCGUAUGCCACCCUGAAUGAGAACCAUCUAUAGUGACAGUAACAUCCGUGACCAGGGUGGGUGGGUGAAGUGAGCAAGCCUCCCCCUCUCCCCCGCGAUAGCGGGUGGAGGAGGAGUGGCCGCUGAGCCUGGCUGUCUGGCU